AGUCGUGGGGAAUGAUGGCAUAUUCUAUGGAUGCUGAAAGGGAGGGAUGAGAAAGAUUUUGGAAGCCGACUUCAGAGACCCUGAUGGCAUAUUGAAUUUUGGUAAUGAUGGGUGUGAAGAGGAAGUGACCUAAGUUUCUGCCUAAGUAACAGAGUAGAUGGGGACUUUGAAGGCUGAAGGAGGAGAGAGAUUUGGCAGGAACCAAGUCUAGAGGAGCUGACACUAUCUGGGACAUGCAAUUCUCAAGUGGAUGGAUGGAAUAUGAGUGUUUGAAUGUGAAUAUUGCAGCAAUCAAGCUUUUGCUAUGCAGAGAAGGAAUAUGAAAAGGAAUUAAAGAUCAGGUAUGAGACAACAAAAAAUGAAAAGGAACUGGAUAACUGAGUAAACUUUUGGAUUAGAGCUCUCUGCAAACUGAAAUGGCCAAACUUUUAGAUGAAAUAGAAAACAACAAAUUAAAUAAUUCUUGUAAUAUAUUUGUAAUCAAAUUAAACUUCCAAAUUUUAACACAGUUGUAGAUUCACACGCAGUUAUAAACAAUUAUACGGUAAGAUUCUGCUUAUAAUAUCACAAUCACGAUAUUAAUAUUGACACAGUCAAUAUACAAAACAUUCUAUCACCAGGAGCAUUCUGACUGUUGACCUAUUAUAGCCACACUGAACUUAUUUUCACCAUACCACGUACCCCUCAACCCUUAAUUCCCAGUACUUAACUCCAGGAAAUCACUUAAUCCAUUCUCUAUUUCUAUGAUUUGUAACUUCAAGAAUGUUAUGUAAACGCAAUAAUACAUUAUGUAGCCUUUUUGGAUUUGUUUUUUCACUCAGCAUUAUUGUUUAGAAACUCACCUACAUUGGUACAAAUAUCAAUAGUUUGCUUCUUUUCUUUGUUGCAUAGUGUUCCACUAUAUAGAUGUACCUAAGUUAUUUUCCUUUGUUUAUUUGCUUGCUUGUUUUUGACCAUUUAUCCUUUGAAGGACAUCUGAGUUGUUUCCAUUUGGGGAGUAUUAUGAAUAAAACUUCCAUAAAUUUCCAUGUAUAAGUUCUUGUGUGAUCGUAACUUUUUGUCUACGAUAAAUGCCCAGUGGUGUAAUUGCUUGGUUGCAUGUUAGCUGCAUGUUUAGUGUUUUUUGUUUUUGUUUUUGUUUUCACAUUGGAAAACUAUUUUUCAAAAUAGCUGCAAUGCUAUAUUCCCACUAGCAAAUUAUGACUGAUCUAUUAUAGUUUCUUCAUAUAUUUGCAAGAAUUUGGCAUUGUGACUUUUAAAAAAGUUUAGCCUUUACAAUAGAUAUGUAGUAAUUUCUUGUGGUUUUAAUUUUAAUUUCUCUUUUGGCUAAUGGCGUUGAAUAUCUUUUCAUGUAUUAAUUUGCUCCUUAUACAAAUCUGUGUAUCCACUUCUGUGAAAUAUCUGUGUAAGUCUUUUGGAAGUUUUCUUAUUGAAUUUUUUUGUUGUUGUUUUGUUUCGUGUUACUGUUGAGUUUUGAGAAUCCUUUAGGUAUUCUAGGUAAAAGUCCUCUGUUGGAUAUGUGGUUUGCAAAUAUUUGGCUCAAUCUAUAGUUUGUCUUUUUAUCUCUUAACCAGGUAGUUGGUGAGCUAAAGUUUUAAAUUUUGAUGAACUUCAAUUUAUCAAUGUUUCCUGUCAUGCUUUUGGUAUAAAUUCUAACUUCUUAUUUAUCCCAAACUCUGAAGAUUUUCUCCUAUAUAAUUUCUAAAUUUUUCAUGAAUUUAUAUCUUAUAUUCAAGUCAUUGUCUUAGUUCAUUUUGUGUUGCUGUAACAAAAUAACUGAAAUUGGGCAAUUUACAAACAAUAGAGGUUUACUUGGCUCAAAGUUCCUCCCAUUGGGAGCUACCUCCUAACACUGUUGCACUGGGGAGUAAGUUCCAACACAUGAACUUUGGAGGACACAUUUAAACCUCAGCAGUCAUUGAUCCAUUUUAAGUUAUUUUUUGUAUAACACAUAACACUUAAUAUAAGUUUUAAAUUUAAAAAGUUUAAGUUUUCUACCUAUUGAUGGUGAAUUGCUCUAGUACUGUUUUGUUGAAAAUGCUAUUCUUCCACUCCUGUAUUGCUUUUGAACCUUUGUCAAAAAUAUGUUGGGCAUAUUUCUGUGAUAAAUUUUUUUGGGCUGAUUUCCACAAUGCCUAUUUUAUUCCAAUAGAUCUAUGUGUCUGUCCCUCUUGCACUACCACAG
ensembl:lncRNA novel transcript